rnacentral:rRNA from 1 species
UACAGAGGUGGCAAGCGUUGUUCGGAUUCAUUGGGCGUAAAGGGUGCGUAGGCGGCGCGGUAAGUCGGGUGUGAAAUCUCGGAGCUUAACUCCGAGACUGCAUUCGAUACUGCCGUGCUUGAGGACUGGAGAGGAGACUGGAAUUUACGGUGUAGCGGUGAAAUGCGUAGAUAUCGUAAGGAAGACCAGUGGCGAAGGCGGGUCUCUGGACAGUUCCUGACGCUGAGGCACGAAGGCCAGGGGAGCAAACGGG